UUCCGAAAUCACAUUGUAGUGACGUAUACAGAACACAAUAAAUUAUAUAAUGUAAACAACUACCUGAAAAACAGGUAGAACGAUACUUUUGUAUGGUUUAUUGCAUUUAUGGAGGGAGUGAUGUAUGCUGGGUAAUGGCACAGCUAGCUACUGGGUGACUUUAUUCACCCGCUUCGGCUGUUAUCAGUCCAUACAAUGGGCGUUAUUAGCACAAAUCAGUCCCAUAGAUAUGGGCCAUCUCCUGCUAGAUUGUUCAGAAGGUUGUUCUCAUCCAUCCAGAUGGAGGAUCACUAACAGGAGCGUGGAAGACUCCAGAAUCCACUCUGGCUGGAAUCCGGUGGAUAUGCAGUGUUUACAGAACAGUUCUCCACAGUCGCUGUCCACAUGGGUCAGUGGGACCAAGAAGCACUCUGCUAAUGUGGGACUCUGACCAGCAACAUCCAGCAAGACCCAGACAGCGUUUUCUAUCUCCCAGCUGGAGUUUUGUUUGUCUGUGACUGGAGAGUCAGAUUUUUGUUGAGCUUCACACUUGCAGAGGUAAGUCAGUUUGCAGAGAUCCCUCCCACCCUGGCUUUUAUGUGCUAGAUUUCUUAUCUGAAACAGUAAUAUUUCAGUGACUGCUGCUUAUACCACAGGUUAACUACACGCUACUGAUCCCUGAUGGGAGAAUCAUCAAUUUUGGCAACAAAGAAGCCUGGUGGAUGUUUGUUUACAGUCUGAUGAUGGGACAUCAUGCUCUGCAUCUUCAAAGUUUGCCUCCUCAUUAUUAUUCAUACCCAGUAAUGUGAAGUAUGCUCAUAUCUACUAUAACUGAACCAACCUGGUGCUCUUCAUUUAUGGAGGCUGUUGAGUCUGAAUGUUGGAUGUUGUGUAUCUCGUGUUCUCUGGGCUUUGUUGUCCUCAGUCUUUUUGCAGGAUCAGAAAACAAAACCAGGAGGCGCGUAAAUGUUUCUUCUCCAUGAUGUUUCUUCAAAUGUUUCUUCUGGAUGAUGAUAAGACUGUGACACGGGAUGCCACCUUUGGUCUUGUGAUGAAGCAAAGCUCAGGAAGAAGUGGGAUUAAAUGGUACCCACAGUUGCUCUGAGAAGGAUGUACAGGGGCACCUGCAGCCAAAUCCAAGCCUCAGAGCAGAGCAGCAGUUUGUGCUCACAGAUGGUGACGGUGUGGAGAGACGGUGGUGUUUCCUCAGAAGAACCAGCAGAGUCACAAAGGACACCAGUCCAUCUCACCACCUG